UACAGAGGUCUCAAGCGUUGUUCGGAUUCAUUGGGCGUAAAGGGUGCGUAGGUGGGCUGUUAAGUCAGUGGUGAAAUCUCCGGGCUCAACCCGGAAACUGCCAUUGAUACUAUCAGUCUUGAAUAUCGUUGAGGUAAGCGGAAUAUGUCAUGUAGCGGUGAAAUGCUUAGAUAUGACAUAGAACACCAAUUGCGAAGGCAGCUUGCUAACCGAAUAUUGACACUGAGACACGAAAGCGUGGGGAUCAAACAGG
rnacentral:rRNA from 1 species